rnacentral:rRNA from 1 species
ACGCUGGCGGCGUGCUUAACACAUGCAAGUCGAACGAAGAGCGAUGGAAGCUUGCUUCUAUCAAUCUUAGUGGCGAACGGGUGAGUAACGCGUAAUCAACCUGCCCUUCAGAGGGGGACAACAGUUGGAAACGACUGCUAAUACCGCAUACGAUCUAAUCUUGGCAUCGAGACUGGAUGAAAGGUGGCCUCUAUUUAUAAGCUAUCACUGAAGGAGGGGAUUGCGUCUGAUUAGCUAGUUGGAGGGGUAACGGCCCACCAAGGCGAUGAUCAGUAGCCGGUCUGAGAGGAUGAACGGCCACAUUGGGACUGAGGCACGGCCCAGACUCCUACGGGAGGCAGCAGUGGGGAAUCUUCCGCAAUGGACGAAAGUCUGACGGAGCAACGCCGCGUGAGUGAUGACGGCCUUCGGGUUGUAAAGCUCUGUUAAUCGGGACGAAUGGUUCUUGUGCAAAUAGUGCGAGGAUUUGACGGUACCGGAAUAGAAAGCCACGGCUAACUACGUGCCAGCAGCCGCGGUAAUACGUAGGUGGCAAGCGUUGUCCGGAAUUAUUGGGCGUAAAGCGCGCGCAGGCGGAUUGGUCAGUCUGUCUUAAAAGUUCGGGGCUUAACCCCGUGAUGGGAUGGAAACUGCCAAUCUAGAGUAUCGGAGAGGAAAGUGGAAUUCCUAGUGUAGCGGUGAAAUGCGUAGAUACUAGGAAGAACACCAGUGGCGAAGGCGACUUUCUGGACGAAAACUGACGCUGAGGCGCGAAAGCCAGGGGAGCGAACGGGAUUAGAUACCCCGGUAGUCCUGGCCGUAAACGAUGGGUACUAGGUGUAGGAGGUAUCGACCCCUUCUGUGCCGGAGUUAACGCAAUAAGUACCCCGCCUGGGGAGUACGACCGCAAGGUUGAAACUCAAAGGAAUUG